GCUCAUGCCACCUUCUCAUACUUCAUGUUGAUCUACAGAGAAGAACUUCCAUAAGCAGAACAAGUGCCUGAGAAAGACUUUUUCUCCCAAGUGAGGUGACAGAGUGCUUCCAGCACCCUGGGACUGGAGUAAAAAAUGAUACUAAUGUUCAGUUCCCUGUGGGCGAAGGAGAGAGGCUGUGAGCUUGGGUACGCUCUGCAAAGGAAGAAGGGGGAUCGUGCGAUUGCAAACUGUUCCCAGCUUCGCUGUACUGCUGAUGGAAAACAUGCUAAAUGUCGGCUGACCUGAUCCAUGGCUGCGUUAAAAAUGUGAUAAUUGGUCAGUUUUUAGAAAUUAGAACUCCUCUUCCAGAAACUAAAAAGAGAAGAUGCAGUCCAGCAGAUCUUAUUCAUGAAAAAUUCCCAAAGCCCUUUUAUUCAGUGGGAGUUUCACACUGAGAAAGGCCACAAGAUGAGUGAUCCUGAUGCUGGGUCUGGGUAGCACAGGGAGAAAACCACUUGACUGAAAAGC
rnacentral:lncRNA from 1 species